GGAGGGAGAUAGCCGCCAAUCGGUCCGAUAAAUACGCCUAACUUCGCUUGUGCUUGAAGGAUUCGAAACAUUUUUGCGGCAGGACAUUUGUGAGGCAAUCUCCUCUAACAGUGACA
rnacentral:lncRNA from 1 species